AUUGAACGCUGGCGGCAGGCCUAACACAUGCAAGUCGAACGGUAACAGGAAGCAGCUUGCUGCUUUGCUGACGAGUGGCGGACGGGUGAGUAAUGUCUGGGAAACUGCCUGAUGGAGGGGGAUAACUACUGGAAACGGUAGCUAAUACCGCAUAACGUCGCAAGACCAAAGAGGGGGACCUUCGGGCCUCUUGCCAUCGGAUGUGCCCAGAUGGGAUUAGCUAGUAGGUGGGGUAACGGCUCACCUAGGCGACGAUCCCUAGCUGGUCUGAGAGGAUGACCAGCCACACUGGAACUGAGACACGGUCCAGACUCCUACGGGAGGCAGCAGUGGGGAAUAUUGCACAAUGGGCGCAAGCCUGAUGCAGCCAUGCCGCGCGUAUGAAGAAGGCCUUCGGGUUGUAAAGUACUUUCAGCGGGGAGGAAGGGAGUAAAGUUAAUACCUUUGCUCAUUGACGUUACCCGCAGAAGAAGCACCGGCUAACUCCGUG
rnacentral:rRNA from 1 species